AGACGACUCAACCCUGGUUGCAGAGAUUAAGAGGGUGAUGGCCAGUGACCUCUCCACACGCUACAGAGGCACCCAAGAUGCUCUCAACAUAGCAUCAGCGUUGGACCCGCGAUUUAAAGAACUGCCCUACCUGGAAAAAGAGGACAGAGAACAGGUCUACACAAAACUGGUUUUUUGAGGCAGAAGUGUCCCACCAGAUGCAAGCAAUGGGAAAUCAGGAGGAAGACGAGGGAAGCUCAAGCACAAAGCUGUCAGGAUUCAAUGAAGAGACCACAGCUCCAAAUGAGUCACCUCCUUGUAAGAAGAAAGCCUUAGAUGCGCUGUUUGGC